CAGUAAUCCUCUGAAAAAUCUUUCUUCAGCUCUGAUGAAGCCUUCUGCAAAGUCAAUUUAAAUUACCGCACAGAUAAUGGGCUCUCUCUUCUCCACUUAUGCUGCAUAUGUGAGGGUAACAAAUCACAUAUAAGAACUCUUAUGCUAAAAGGACUGCGCCCAUCCAGGUUAACAAGAAAUGGAUUUACUGCUCUGCACUUGGCAGCUUACAAGGACAACGCAGAACUCAUAACGGCACUGCUGCAUGGCGGAGCUGACGUUCAGCAGGUUGGGUACGGAGCUCUGACAGCCCUUCACAUUGCCACCAUAGCUGGGCAUCACCAGGCUGUUGAUAUUCUUUUGCAGCAUGGAGCUUAUGUGAAUGUUCAGGAUGCGGUUUUCUUCACCCCGUUGCACAUUGCUGCAUAUUAUGGCCAUGAACAGGUAACAGGGGGGGAGAUUUCAGAAAGG